UACGAAGGGGGCUAGCGUUUUUCGGAAUCACUGGGCGUAAAGCGCACGCAGGCGGAUCGAUAAGUCGGGGGUGAAAGCCCGGGGCUCAACCUGGGAAUUGCCUUCGAUACUGUCGGUCUCGAGUCCGGGAGAGGUGAGUGGAAUUCCUGGUGUAGAGGUGAAAUUCGUAGAUAUUAGGAAGAACACCAGUGGCGAAGGCGGCCCCCUGGACCAAUACUGACGCUGAGGUGCGAAAGCGUGGGGAGCAAACAGG
rnacentral:rRNA from 1 species